CCUACGGGUGGCAGCAGUGGGGGAUAUUGCACAAUGGGGGAAACCCUGAUGCAGCGACGCCGCGUGGGUGAAGAAGUAUUUCGGUAUGUAAAGCCCUAUCAGCAGGGAAGAAAGAAGACGGUACCUGACUAAGAAGCCCCGGCUAACUACGUGCCAGCAGCCGCGGUAAUACGUAGGGGGCGAGCGUUAACCGGAUUCACUGGGUGUAAAGGGAGCGUAGACGGCCGUGCAAGCCAGGAGUGAAAGCCCGGGGCCCAACCCCGGGACUGCUCUUGGAACUGUGCGGCUGGAGUGCGGGAGGGGCAGGCGGAAUUCCUGGUGUAGCGGUGAAAUGCGUAGAUAUCAGGAGGAACACCGGCGGCGAAGGCGGCCUGCUGGACCGCGACUGACGUUGAGGCUCGAAAGCGUGGGGAGCGAACAGGAUUAGAUACCCGGGUAGUC
rnacentral:rRNA from 1 species